GUGCAAAUGGAGAACAUCCUGUAGAGCCCCUGAGUUACAGAACACAAAAUAGUUUUAACUUUUAACAUAACCAGAACAAUUCUCAAUGGUGAUCUCAUAAUGCAGCAAAUACUACAAUAUGUAAAACUUUAAUAGUUCAGAGAGAAAUGAACGCAUGUGGGAGACCAAAAUCCCAAUUCAUAAUAACAACUAAUUUAUCAAUUUAACCACAUAGAUAAUAGGUUUACAGCCAUGUAAACUGAGCUUCACAUGUGACAUUAGCUUCUAACAUAAAGCACAUUGGCGUUAUCUAGUCUACAGAUGUAUUUGUUACCAGUAAAACACUAGCUCUAUUAAUGGAUGAUUUUAUAAAAUCGCAAUGUGAUUUUAUUAUUUUAACCUUGUGCACAUAUUAUUUUG
rnacentral:lncRNA from 1 species